AUGGCAUGCACGCCGAGGGUCGGAUCUCGCCGAGAACCACACUUGAAGAGCCACCAUUACCGAGCCCGCGUGAAGAAGAAUACCGCCCGGUUGGAUUGUGGAUGCUCUGGCGUCGGGCUCGCGAUAUCCUGGCUAGGUGCUCCAUGGGGUCCUCAGGGAGGUACCCAUGACCUUCUCGGGCAGGAUGAACCUCCGAGGCAAUUGGAAUUUCUCACCGUGCCUGUGACACAACCGCGAUCCGCGCCGCUACAUGGGCAAUAUGCUGGCGCCCCAAUCCGAGGUGAGGUCUUUACCCUCGUAUUCGCUAGAACCUGAGCAUCGUUUUGCACUCUUCGCUUUUGUGUUCGAGCGCUUGGUGGCUGUACCGUCCUACGCCAGCCAUGGCCUCCGCCGUGCGGGCGCCGCCGUCGCUGUCUGUGUGAGGUGGUGGGCAAUAGAGUGGUAGGGGAGAGAAAAGUUCAACCGUUAGAUCUUCUAAUGGACGCACUUGAUUAGACCAAGGUUACGUUUCGCCUGAGCUCGUCCAUCGUCGUAGAUCUGUCAACGGACGCACAAGAAAAAACCUAGUGUUUUAAAUCCUGGCCGUUUAUUCAGAAUCGGACGGUUAGGGUCGUGGGGGGAAAUACCGGUUGGGUGGACGAUCUUCAGCCCUUGGAUCGUGAUCCUGCGGCUCGGGAUAGAAUUGCUCGUAAUUAAAUGAGCAGCACCAUUGAUCUCUGAUCUUGUGGACUGGAACGCAUACCGGUUCAGAUCUAAUCCAUGCCACUAGUUUCUGAUCGGACGAUCCAGAUGUAGCCAUACCCCUUCAGCCGAGCAGAUUUACAAAAGAUACCCUCUGUUUUUUCUUUAUUCAACCCGCCAUCCUAGUUAGGUCGAGGAGAAGUUAAAGUAAGCCCCUACAUUUAGCAGUCUAGCCCCUGCGCUUCUCAGGAUUUCAAGCCAAAGUACAGUCAGCCGAGAAUUCAAUUAAAAUAAAUGCAAAAAUCAUUUCUAGUGAAAAAAUGUCCCAAUCUUAGGAAAUUCAUAACUUUACGAUUUUAACUCCAUUUUGAUCCAUUCCAGUUGCAUUAAAUUCAUAUUAAUAUUGUUUAUCAUUUGGUAGCUUUGUUUUGUUAUGAAACAUAUGUUAAAAAUUAUGCAUUUAAUUUGUUUUAUAUCUAACACCCCAAAUCUUUAGAAAAUCAUAACUAUUUAAUUGUAACUUCGAAUUUAGUGAUUCUCAAACCUACGAUCUCGUUACGACGAGUAGAACAUUAUUUUGUAGUUUGUGCUUAUAUUUGGUGUGAUGCUAAUUUUUCCUAUAUCAUGUUUGUUUGUAUUGCUACGAUUAGCAGCGAGGUUACGAGUCACUUGAAGACCAAGUUGGUACCUGGGAAUCUCGAGUCUAAGGCAAGUUGUGCCCUUGAUCACUCUUCUUUACCUAAUAAUGUUCCUGUUAAUCAUUGUGACAUGCUCAGGUUAAUUUGAUGGGACCUAAUAGGUUUCCCAAGCAUUGUUUAUCCCCCACCUUGCAAACAGAUGAACUAUUGGGUAGAUUUGCUAUUGCUCUACUUGGUUUUGGGAAACUAAUGUUUUAUUAUGAUCAUAUUUCAAUUAUGUUAUUGUUUUAAUUAUUGCUCAUGAUAAGAUUAUCAUGUUAAUUGGAACAUAGAGAACCACCCGGGAAAACAGUGCUACCACAAGGGUGGAAUGGGACGCCCUUGGCCAAGUAAUUAGAAAAGCUAGGGAGAGGUUACCUUACCCGGAGGGGUAAGCGGGGAGGCGUAACUGCUAGAGUAUAGGGAGCUCCUCGGGCCGAACUGUUUGUAAAGCUUUUCGGACGAGGGAUUCCUAUGCUUCCUUCGUCCUAAAUCCGUAGCGGGUUUUCUCGAACUAGUGGAACUUUGUAAAGGCCUCAUAGUGCUACCCUACCUCGCUUCCUCGGUAGAGGUGUAUGGGGUCCGAUCAACCCCGUGGCAAAUGGGUAACACGACUUGUGUGUAAAGAUGUGCAACCUCUGCAGAGUGUAAAACUGGUAUAUCAGCCGUGCUCACAGUCAUGAGCGGCUCGGACACUCACAUGAUUAAUUUAUGGAACUAAACUUAAUAUGUCAUAUGCAUUGCAUCGCGGGUAUUGUUAUUAAUUGUGAUCUCUUAUUUAAUUGGGUUGAUAUCUACUUAUACUUAGUAACUGCUAAUAAAACUUUGACCAACUCUAAAAGCAAUGCUCAGCUUUAACCAUCUCCUUUUGGUAAGCCUUACACUUCACUUGAGCUCCUAGCUUUGGUGAGUUCAUACACAUUAUUCCCCACAACUCGUUGAGCGAUGAACGUAUGUGAGCUCACCAGUGCUGUACUCGCAUCCCCCCAGGUCAAGAACAUGUAUCGUCAAGAUGAGAAGCAUGAAAGAUGUCGUGAUGAUGUUUGUGAGUGGUCUAGGUUGUCGUCUCCCUGUCAACUUUGGAUUACUAGAUUGUUGUCUUCCUAUGAUGUAAUUAUUU
rnacentral:lncRNA from 1 species